rnacentral:rRNA from 1 species
UACGUAGGGACCAAGCGUUGUUCGGAUUUACUGGGCGUAAAGGGCGCGUAGGCGGCCACCGCAAGUCAGUUGUGAAAUCUCUGGGCUUAACCCAGAAAGGUCAACUGAUACUGCGGGGCUAGAGUGCAGAAGGGGCAACUGGAAUUCUCGGUGUAGCGGUGAAAUGCGUAGAUAUCGAGAGGAACACCUGCGGCGAAGGCGGGUUGCUGGGCUGACACUGACGCUGAGGCGCGAAAGCUAGGGGAGCGAACGGG